rnacentral:rRNA from 1 species
UACGAAGGGGGCUAGCGUUGCUCGGAAUCACUGGGCGUAAAGGGUGCGUAGGCGGGUUUUAAGUCAGAGGUGAAAUCCUGGAGCUCAACUCCAGAACUGCCUUUGAUACUGAAAGUCUUGAGUAUGGGAGAGGUGAGUGGAACUGCGAGUGUAGAGGUGAAAUUCGUAGAUAUUCGGAGGAACACCAGUGGCGAAGGCGGCUCACUGGUCCAUUACUGGACGCUGAGGUGCG